rnacentral:snRNA from 1 species
GGAUGUGAGGGUGAUGUGGCUCAGACAUCUGUUACCCCAUUAGGUGCUAGGGUUGAUUCAGCUGAUCUCGUUGGCUAAGGGGGUGUCCCCUUCCUUCCUCACUGCUCCAUAUGCAUUCCUGCAGAAGCUGGAUGGUAAGUGUAAGAGGACGACUAGCCCACCUCUACUCCAUGGAGGAGGACUGUUUUCCCUGGUCAAGGGUAUGUGAGUAGCUGUACUCCCUGCUAAAAUCUCCAAACAAGUUCUCAAGGAUAUGUAUCAUCUCUUUCUCUCUCUUUUCUUUAAAUACUCAGACAUUGCAAAUAUUUCAUUAUUUU